CCUGUUGAUGAGGACAAAUCGAAGCGGGUGGCGGACCGGCCGAUUCAGUUCUACACAGUGCUCCCUCCGUUCUACUGUUCGCGGGUUCGCCAAUACAGCUGUUUCGACGUCUGAAAGACAGUAGUGUCUCAAACUGGCGUCCCUUUAUUUUGAAACGGGAAGUUUGAAAAAAGGGAAAUUUUAUACAGUAUAAAAUACUGUAGACUACACGUACCAGCAGUUCAAUUCCGAAGGUCUGAAUCUGAACCAGCUUUUUAGCCCAGCCCACCUGCAUCGUCGUCGCUUUAUAUUAACCAGCUCACGAGGACUACGAGACAAACCACCCAGCA
rnacentral:lncRNA from 1 species